UGGAUUGUGGGGAAAAUUUCCCCGGAACCGUUAUCCAAGUUCCGCAGGUUGGUCCGGGUUGGAUCAUUAGACGGCCGCCAGUGGUGGAUCGGUUUAUUAGAUACUGGUAGUCCCCCCGUAAACGAUAUUAUAGGGUGUCGGGACCAAGGGUCUCCGGGUCGCCGCAAACGCAUUAAGUAAUCCACCUGGGGAGUACGUUCGCAAGAAUGAAACUCAAAGAAUUGACGGGGACCCGCACAAGCGGUGGAGCAUGUGGUUAAUUUGAAGCAACGCGAAGAACUUUACCUGCCCUUGACAUCCGGAUGAAUAAGGGGUAAUGCCCUUAGCCUUUCGGGGCAUCCGAGACAGGUGGUGCAUGGUUGUCGUCAGCUCGUGUCGUGAGAUGUUGGGUUAAGUCCCGCAACGAGCGCAACCCCUAUCUUCAGUAGCCAGCAUUCAGGAUGGGAACUCAGGAGAGACUGCCCGGGACAACCGGGAGGAAGGCGGGGAUGACGUCAAAUCAUCAUGCCCCUUAUGGGCAGGGCUACACACGUGCUACAAUGGCGAAAACAGAGGGAAGCGAGCCGGUGACGGUAAGCAAACCCCAAAAACAUCGUCCCAGUUCGGACUGUAGUCUGCAACCCGACUACACGAAGCCGGAAUCGCUAGUAAUCGCGGAUCAGAAUGCCGCGGUGAAUACGUUCCCGGGUCUUGUACACACCGCCCGUCACACCAUGGGAGUCGGAAAUGCCCGAAGUCAGUGACCUAACCUUUAAGGAGGGAGCUGCCGAAGGUGGAGCCGGUAACUGGGGUGAAGUCGUAACAAGG
rnacentral:rRNA from 1 species